AGUACCUGCCCUCCCUGGGCUUUUCAUCCCAAAUAGCUCUUUUUGGAGAUA
ensembl:sRNA